rnacentral:lncRNA from 1 species
CUGGAAUCUCAGCUCUGCCACUCACCUGCUUCGUGUGAGCUCGGACAGGCCUGACCUCGCAGAGCCUCAGCUUCAUCUGUAGAACCAUGGGAACAAUAAUGCAGUCAUGCGCCAGAGAAGGACGCUUCGGUCAUCAAGGGACUGCAUGUACGACAGUGGUCCCAUAAGAUCACAACGCCGUAUUUCUCCUGUACCGGUUCUAUGUGUAGAUACACAAAUACUUCCCACUGUGCCACGGUUGCCUACAGCAUUCGGUCCAAAGACAGGCGGCACCUGAGUGUAGCCCAGGGGCAAGAGCCAGGUGUGUAGGGGCCGCACCAUCUCGGCUGGCGUAAAUCCACUCUAUGCUCUUCGCAGCUGAUGCAUUUCUCAGAAUGCAUCCCUGUUGUUAAGGACACAGGACUGUCCUGCCACCCCACAGGGCUGAUUUGCUGAGGGUCACAGGAGAGAUUCUCACGGCUGGCCCAGAGCAUGAGCUCCAGGGCCCUCACUGUUGUCAUCUGCACAAGUGUUAAGUGCCACGUCCCCGCUGGGCCCGGUAGGCAGUGGUGGGCGGUGACUGAAGGAUCCAGUCUAGACAGACAACCAUGUUAAUUCGCAGAGCUCAGGCCAGGACAGUGGGGCGGUGAGGGCCUUGGUUUCUGGGGUUUACGGUGGGGUUGGAGGCUGGGUCUCCAAGGGCCUCUUUCCCUGGUGUGUGAUUUUUCAAAGAAUCCAGGACAGAGUUAAACAGGCAGGUGCAGUCCCUGAGGACAGAUGGCAGGAUGUGGCUGGGGGGUUCAGAGGAGAGCUGGGGGCUGGGUGGAGUGAGAGGGGCAGAGCUCUCGGGAUGAGUGGGUGGUGCUGGGAGACGAGCAGGGUCAGAGAUCUGGAGAGGGGCGGAAAGAGGUUGCAGGCCUGGUUCAGCUGCCCCAAUUCCACAUAAAAACAGUCAGGGCUCGGUCCUCGGCCUCAGUUUCCCCCUCUGUAAACGUGGAAAUGGUCCCUCCCUGUGGUGGCGCGGGGGACGGGGCCUCAGCUCCCCGGGCUCAGGAGAUACCGCCUGGACCCGGGCAGCUUAAACACCCCUUCCCCUUCCACGAGGACCGAGUCCGAGGCCUGAGCCGGGCCGGGCUGUCUGCUGCAGGGCGGCGUCGAGACUUGGGGUGGGAGCCCCCGGAGGAGGAAGAGACGAACCGGGAGCCAGAGGGAGCCGGGUACACCGCGGGACUCACGGGGCGCCCCGGGGCCGGGAAUCUAGCUACGGAAUCCGGUCGGUAGGUGGCGCCGCGAGGCUGCAGUUGGGUUUCCGUCGCCCAGGCCGAGGGUGGUGCGGAGCCGGGACCCGCGGGGCUUCAGCGUCCCCCGUGGCCGUUCCCACCGCCGUCGGUCCGCGGAGAUCCCAGGUGUUUUUAGGGCACCCAGGUUCACACCCCGUUGGGCCAAGACCGAGAGCGACGCGCGGGCACCGGACGGGGUGCGAACCCG